GCCGUUGUAGCUCAGGUGGUAGAGUACGUCAUUGGUAAUGACGAGGUCCCAAGUUCGAGUCUUGGUAACGGCACCA
rnacentral:tRNA from 1 species